UGAAAAUGCUUCUCCAUGAAAAUACUUUCAUAGAUUAAGAUCCUGCAGCCUGACAUGAUAAUUUAAAAAACCACAUGUUCAUCCCAAACAUUCUGAAUAGCAAUAUAUGAUUAAAACAGUAAGAACCAGAAUAUAACAUUUUAUGAGGUAAUCAAAACAGUUCAACCUGCUAAAACAUUACACAAUAGUUUAAAAGCCUGGGCAAAUGUUCAGCCAGCAACUAAAGGAAUACAGUGCACUAGCAACGUCCCUUGGAUGGUGUGCCCAAGCUGGGGCACUGGCACUGAAAAGGCCCUUCCAUUCCUUUCACAUGUGUAUCAAAUUGUUUAUAUAGAUAAACUUGGAGAAGGCCCUUCACAGAUGAUGAACUUCAUAUAGGGCAAGUACAUACAGGACAAUGGUUAUAAGCCCCUCUGUGGAGCUGAGAGCACAGGAAACAAGCAUCUUAACUUCCAGCUGUAAUUAUCUUGAAUAACCAACAGUUUUGCUGCUUAUAGAAGUGGUUGAGCCAUAGGUAGAUAGCAAGUUCAGUCUCACUCUUUUCUUGAUAUGAAGAAUAAUGACAGGUAGUGGUUGUGAUUUAAGAAUAGCUGGUCUUAGCUUUAACCAUGUGCAAUUGCUUGUAAUAUGUAGCUAAAUUGGCAGUAGACUCUCUGAUGUUAACAGUGUAUCUAAACAGUGGCCAUUUAGUUCAUAGAACUGUCUAAUAAGUAGCAGCAUUAGUAACUGCUGUGUCAUUCUCUCCAAAGUCAGCUCAACAUCUAUGUGAAAACAUGACUCAGUGGAUCAGUUAGUGCACAGCUGCUUUACAGCAAGGACUUAAAAUACAAAUCUUUUUAUUCUGACACAUUUUAGACGGAAAAAAA